GACGAACGCUGGCGGCGUGCUUAACACAUGCAAGUCGAACGGAAAGGCCCUGCUUGUGUGGGGUGCUCGAGUGGCGAACGGGUGAGUAACACGAGAGUAACCUGACCUUGACUUUGGGAUAACUUCAGGAAACUGGGGCUAAUACCGGAUAGGAGCCCCUGCUGCGUGGUGGGGGUUGGAACGUUUCGGCGGUUGGGGAUGGACUCGCGGCUUAUCAGCUUGUUGGUGGGGGAGUGGCAUACCAAGGCUUUGACUGGUAGGCGGCCUGGGAGGGUGACCGGCCACCUUGGGACUGAGAUACGGCCCAGACUCCUACGGGAGGCAGCAGUCGCGAAUCUUGCCCAAUGGGCGGAAGCCUGAUGCAGCAACGCCGCGCGCGGGAUGACGGCCUUCGGGGUGUAAACCGCUUUCGCCUGUGACGAAGCGGGAGUGACGGUAAUGGGUAAAGAAGCACCGGCUAACUACGUG
rnacentral:rRNA from 1 species